rnacentral:misc_RNA from 1 species
GAUGAAGAACGUAGCGAAAUGCGAUAAGUAGUGUGAAUUGCAGAAUUCAGUGAAUCAUCGAAUCUUUGAACGCACAUUGCGCCCUUUGGUUUUCCUUAGGGCAUGCCUGUUCGAGCGUCAUUUAAACCUUCAAGCUAAGCUUGGUGUUGGGUGACUGUCCGCUUCACUGCGGACUCGCCUCAAAAUUAUUGGCGGCCGGUACAUUGGCUUCGAGCGCAGCAGAAACGCGAACUCGGGCCCGUCGUAUUGGCUCCCAGAAGCUAUCUUCACAAUUUUGACCUCGGAUCAGGUAGGGAUACCCGCUGAACUUAAGCAUAUCAAUAAGCGGAGGA